AGCCAUACCUCCCUGAAUGUGCCUGAUCUUGUCUGAUCUCAGAAGCUAAGCAGGGUCGGGCCUGGUUAGUACUUGGAUGGGAGAAAUGAAAUCAUGUUGCUAGAAAAA
rnacentral:rRNA from 1 species